rnacentral:ncRNA from 1 species
AAUCUUUAUACAUAAGGCACCUCGUUAAUUUAGUUUAGUGAUGUUUAUUAAAUUAUACGAAAGGGCCUUAUUUUUUAAAGUGUUUUGAUGUAAAAUUACAUAUAAAUUCGAUGUAUUUUGGCGAGACACUUAAGGGAACAGGACAAGCUGAAGACUACAGGCUGAAGCUGUCCCCUAAGAAAGCGAGCCGAUAAUACGAAGUAUUAUAAAUAAAGAAGCCAGUCA